AUUGAACGCUGGCGGCAGGCUUAACACAUGCAAGUCGAGCGGGCGAGGUUGCUUCGGUAACUGAGCUAGCGGCGGACGGGUGAGUAAAGCUUAGGAAUCUGCCUAUUAGUGGGGGACAACAUUCCGAAAGGGAUGCUAAUACCGCAUACGUCCUACGGGAGAAAGCAGGGGAUCACUUGUGACCUUGCGCUAAUAGAUGAGCCUAAGUCGGAGUAGCUAGUUGGUGGGGUAAAGGCCUACCAAGGCGACGAUCUGGAGCGGGUCUGAGAGGAUGAUCCGCCACCCUGGGACUGAGACACGGCCCAGACUCCUACGGGAGGCAGCAGUGGGGAAUAUUGGACAAUGGGGGGAACCCUGAUCCAGCCAUGCCGCGUGUGUGAAGAAGGCCUUUUGGUUGUAAAGCACUUUAAGCGAGGAGGAGGCUUACCUGGUUAAUACCUGGGAUAAGUGGACGUUACUCGCAGAAUAAGCACCGGCUAACUCUGUGCCAGCAGCCGCAGUAACAC
rnacentral:rRNA from 1 species